CACGGGGGGAGCAAGCGUUGUUCGGAAUCACUGGGCGUAAAGGGCGUGUAGGCGGUCAAGUAAGUGGGAUGUGAAAUCCCUCGGCUCACCCGAGGACCUGCAUCCCAAACUGCUUGGCUUGAGUAUGGGAGAGGAUGAGGGAAUUCCUGGUGUAGCGGUGAAAUGCGUAGAUAUCAAGAGGAACACCUGAGGUGAAGACGGGUUGCUGGGCCGACACUGACGCUGAAGCGCGAAAGCCAGGGGAGCAAACGGG
rnacentral:rRNA from 1 species